rnacentral:rRNA from 1 species
GCAUAUCAAUAAGCGGAGGAAAAGAAACCAACAGGGAUUGCCCUAGUAACGGCGAGUGAAGCGGCAACAGCUCAAAUUUGAAAUCUGGCUUCGGCCCGAGUUGUAAUUUGCAGAGGAAGCUUUAGGCGCGGCACCAUCUGAGUCCCCUGGAACGGGGCGCCAUAGAGGGUGAGAGCCCCGUAUAGUUGGACGCCUAGCCUGUGUAAAGCUCCUUCGACGAGUCGAGUAGUUUGGGAAUGCUGCUCAAAAUGGGAGGUAAAUUUCUUCUAAAGCUAAAUACCGGCCAGAGACCGAUAGCGCACAAGUAGAGUGAUCGAAAGAUGAAAAGCACUUUGAAAAGAGGGUUAAAUAGCACGUGAAAUUGUUGAAAGGGAAGCGCUUGUGACCAGACUUGCGCCGGGCGGAUCAUCCGGUGUUCUCACCGGUGCACUCCGCCCGGCUCAGGCCAGCAUCGGUUCUCGCGGGGGGAUAAAGGCCCUGGGAACGUAGCUCCUCCGGGAGUGUUAUAGCCCAGGGCGUAAUGCCCUCGCGGGGACCGAGGACCGCGCAUCUGCAAGGAUG